GAAAUGGCAACAACUCAGAAGUCCUGGUAAGACGUGUGCAUCAGGGGUUCGAGAUAAGCCCUACAAAGACUCAGAGGCCUGCCACGUCAGAAAAGUUUUCAAAGGUCCAGUGGUAUGGGGCAUACUGAGGUAUUUCUUCCAAGAUAAAGAAGAAAUCGUUAAACCUUGAACAUCCCAUCUUUAAGUGACUUAAAUACAUGGGUCUGAAGACCAAGGGCUGGCAGAAGAGGUAGCCCUUCUUAGCACCAUUCCCAGUGACCCACCGGAGGAAUUCAUGCCUCUUGUCCCUGCACCUUUAGGAUCUGAUGAACCUGAUUCCAGGGUCGGGAGGAAAUACCUGAAGCAGGAGACACAGGAGCCUUUGAGAACUCAUGGCUCAUGGAUCCCAGCAAUGCAAGAAGAUCCCACCCUAAAUCAAAACACAGAGGGAGAGGAUAGAGGGAAACCCUUGAGGAAAUGAAUCAAGAAGCAGCGAGGCACCAAGAAGGAAGAAACCAAAGAGGAGGCGCCAGACUAAGGGCUUGAGGGGAGAGAAAGCCAGGAGAGAAACUACACACAGUCACCCACAAGCAAACAAAACCUGCACAUACACACAGUCAAAGGAGAAGCAUCAGCCGAGACCACAGAUGAAAUUUAAAGUUGUUAUGGCAACCAGAACAGGUGGGUGGGCACUUAUGCCCACUGAAUUUACAAAAUUAAAGUAAGCAUUGCAUUUGCU